CAAGAGCGUAUAUUAAAGUUGUUGCAGUUAAAAAGCUCGUAGUUGGAUUUCUGGUACAACGCGCCUGGCCCGCUUUUGUGAGUGCCGGUGCGCGUUUGCCAUCCUUCUAGAAAACGUCUCUACUCGGGCAACUGGGCCGGAUUCGCGAUCUAGAUCUUUACUUGAAAAAUUAGAGUGUUCAAAGCAGGCUUUUGCUGUGAAUACAUUAGCAUGGAAUAAUAAUCUAGGACUUCGGUUUUAUUUUGUUGGUUUCUAACACUGAAGUAAUGAUUGAUAGGGAUAGUUGGGGGUGCUAGUAUUGGCCGGCCAGAGGUGAAAUUCUUGGAUUUGUUAAAGACGGACUACUGCGAAAGCAUUUGCCAAGGAUGUUUUCAUUGAUCAAGAACGAAAGUUAGGGGAUCGAAGACGAUUAGAUACC
rnacentral:rRNA from 1 species